CGGUACAGAGGUGCUUGCACCUCUUGAGAGCGGCGGACGGGUGAGUAAAGCCUAGGAAUCUGCCUGGUAGUGGGGGAUAACGCUCGGAAACGGACGCUAAUACCGCAUACGUCCUACGGGAGAAAGCAGGGGACCUUCGGGCCUUGCGCUAUCAGAUGAGCCUAGGUCGGAUUAGCUAGUUGGUGAGGUAAUGGCUCACCAAGGCGACGAUCCGUAACUGGUCUGAGAGGAUGAUCAGUCACACUGGAACUGAGACACGGUCCAGACUCCUACGGGAGGCAGCAGUGGGGAAUAUUGGACAAUGGGCGAAAGCCUGAUCCAGCCAUGCCGCGUGUGUGAAGAAGGUCUUCGGAUUGUAAAGCACUUUAAGUUGGGAGGAAGGGCAUUAACCUAAUACGUUAGUGUUUUGACGUUACCGACAGAAUAAGCACCGGCUAACUCUGUGCCAGCAGCCGCGGUAAUACAGAGGGUGCAAGCGUUAAUCGGAAUUACUGGGCGUAAAGCGCGCGUAGGUGGUUCGUUAAGUUGGAUGUGAAAUCCCCGGGCUCAACCUGGGAACUGCAUUCAAAACUGUCGAGCUAGAGUAUGGUAGAGGGUGGUGGAAUUUCCUGUGUAGCGGGUGAAAUGCGUAGAUAUAAGAAGGAACACCAGUGGACGAAAGCG
rnacentral:rRNA from 1 species